GAUGAACGCUGGCGGCGUGCCUAACACAUGCAAGUCGAACGGGGUUAAGCGAAAUUUUCGGAUGGAGCUUAACUUAGUGGCGGACGGGUGAGUAACGCGUGGAUAACCUGCCUCACACUGGGGGAUAGCAGCUGGAAACGACUGCUAAUACCGCAUAAGCCCACAGCUCGGCAUCGAGCAGAGGGAAAAGGAGUGAUCCGCUUUGAGAUGGCCUCGCGUCCGAUUAGCUAGUUGGUGAGGUAACGGCCCACCAAGGCGACGAUCGGUAGCCGGACUGAGAGGUUGAACGGCCACAUUGGGACUGAGACACGGCCCAG
rnacentral:rRNA from 1 species